AUCUCUAUCAAAGUUACGUUCAUGCAAGCAAAUAUAUAUCCAUAGCUACUUAUUAUAAUCUCUCGGUGGGUGCCUUUCAUAUGACUACUAUUUAAUCACAAAUUUUAUUCUCUUGGGAUGGACAAAAUAGACUUGGAAAGGAGAAUGCCAGGUAGAUCUAAGAAAGCAAGAAGAAAGGAAAUGCACGAAGAUAAUGCUAAAGGUACUUGCUUAAAAGCUAAUGGAGCAGUGCAAGUUAGCAAGAAAGGAGUGCAGAUGACAUGUAGUAAUUGUGGAGAAACCGGACAUAAUAAGAAAACUUGCAAGAAUUCGCCAAAGAAAAAAACUCCAGAAGUUGAGAAACCAAAAAACAAAGGUGGGAGGCCAAAGGUUCAAAAAGCAGUAUCAAGUUCUAUCCUAAAGCCAAAAAAGAGAAAGAAAAAUGAAAAUGUUGGAGCUGGAUUGUUUACUGAUCCUAAAACAGGGAAGAUGUAUUUAAAUGGUUAUUUACUACCUAGUGGAGGCGGAGCUGAAGAAAGUUCAAGUGCAGGAAUGACAGGUCCAAAUGCACCAAGGAAUGUUUUAAAUAAUGCUGUAAUUCCAAUCCAAACAUCUGAGCCUACAGAUUUAGUUCAGACCUCACCUGAUAGUUCUUUUAUAUCCGAGGUAUCUCAUAUUAUAAAUUUCAUGUUUCCUGACUUCAAGUAUGUACUGAUCUCUUAUCAACAUUUUUUCAUAAUGUAAUUACGAUCGUUAAUGCCUGGAGCAGUAAAACUACAUUGCUUUAGUACUAAUUUGUUAUAAUUUGUUACCUAUAACAGCUUGUGGACUUGUAUAGAACAAUUGAAACUCCACGAAAAAUCAAGACGGUGGAUAUAAAUUCCACAUCAACGUCAAGAAGUAAGAGAUUUGAGUUGUUUUUUUUAACCCGCUUCAUUAUUAUUAAGUCAUAUAUAUUAUUUAUUUGUCCAUGUUCUAAUCUCUAAGAAGUUAGUGGUUUUGAUUGAAGUGAACAGAUUGCUGGUAUACUUCCUUAUUAUGCAAUUUUCUUUUGUGUUUCUGCAUCUCAAUGAGAUAGCAUUCAACAUCUCUGCUGGAAAAGAGUUCAAACAUCAAACUUAUGCAAGUCAAUUCAAAAUGAUUCCAAUAUGUAUUAGUAAUAAAAAGGGAUGUUUUCCUGCAACUGAAAGUACUAGACUAUAAGCAUUGGCACAUAUGUUCUUGAAUAAAAUUUGUUUUGGCCAUUUUUAUAAUUUAUUAAAACUUUUGCAUUGAUGAUUCUGCUUAAGUCUCUAACUUCUACCAGUCAUAUGUAUAUAUAUAUCCUUGUUAAGAACAAUUGGCGGAUUGUGAUUUUAUAUAAUGAUACUUGUUAGUUUUGAUUUUAAAAAUAACAUGGAAACAAAUGAAAAUAAUUUGCGAUCUCAUUGAAGGUGUCAGAGUUGUAGUUAUUGAUUGGGUGGUUUUUUGGUGUCAAGAUACUAUGGUACUGUAUUGCUACUGUUGGUGGUCAAUGUAUAUGGGCUCAUCUUCAAUCAUUUUCUGCUUUUUAACGCCUCAAGCAGAUCAACCAGAUAAAACUCCUAAGGCAAAAAACCUUAGUGAUAUUUUGGUGGCCACUUUGAGUUAUUUGAAUCUAUUUUUGUUGCUGUCAUGUACCGGAGGAAUCUGAGGGCUUUUCAGGGUCCUUUCCGGCGGAGUCAGUUUGUGGUUCAGUUGGUGGAUUAUUGUGAGAAGAUUGAGGAGCUUGGCUUACAUGGUCAGUUUUCUGAGAAGGACGUUUCCUGCAUAGUUGAAGGCUUUCCGAGACUCAAGGUGUUGGAUUUGUCAGACUCCACUCUACCUGCUGCUGUUGUGUGUGUAGUAGUGGAUGGAAGGCUGAAAUGCAUCAGGGAUCUAAAUGUGGUGCACUGCAAGUUUCUCGAUGAGGACGGGAAAGAUAUGAGGAACAAUUAUGUGAAGUGGAAUGCUUUCAAGCUUAAGAUUCUUGAGAAAGCUUCUGGUAUCAACACUUUAAAGAAGUUUAUGCAUUGCUUCAGGGAGAGAUGCAGGUAGGUUCAUAGAACUAGCAGUGCCAUACUUCGGUAGUGUGGCAAAAUACUGGGGUUUUGAACAAAAGACACCAAUGUGAAACAAUUGAACAUUAGGGGCACUUUAUUUUUUUUGAUAAUAACAUUAGGGGUAAUUGA